UAGCAUUAGCCACCGUGUGGCUAGCUAGCUGUGUUAGUACAAUGUCGUAGUCAUCAAAGGAGCUAGCACUGUUAGUUGUAUCGCUCAUCAAAACAAAGAGGACUCUUUUUAGUGUUUUACAUGUUCGGUGUAAUGACGUAAUGACGUAAAAUGUUUAGGACGCGUCACUGCGGUUGCUGGUCAUUUGUUUUUUUUACCAUAAGCUGUCAUCAAGAAGGAAUGCCAUCAUUUAAUGUCAUGAUGUUUAUAUGUGAACACAUUACACAGUACAUUAGAACUCAGUACACAUUAGCCUAAUUAUUAAAAUAAUGUUGUUCAAUUUUGUUCAAAAUGGAGUCACUUAGCAUUGGCGUUUAAAUGUUACAUUCUAUUAUACAAAAACCCCACUUGUCAUUUGUGUUUGAAUAUAUUGAAUAUUCACAUAUGAAUAUAUUAAUUUGAUUCAAACCAUUGGAAGUUUGCGCACUAUCUCAAGUAUUCACAGCAUAUUAGACUGUAUCUUCUAUCUCUCCAAUUGCAUUUAAUAUAGAGCAUGAACUUAAUAACAUAUUUGUGUAUUUGAGAACAAAUUGAUCAACUGACAGCAAACAUUUUUGAGAUAAUCCCUCUAUGUUUAACUUUCAUUUGCAGAAUGACAAAGCCCAAAAAACAACUGUGCCCCUCCUGCCAGGCCCCAAAUUCCCUUGGGCGUAAAACAUGUGUGGUGUGUGUCUGCCCCCUUCAAAUAAAUAAAAAAAUUUAAAAAAAAUAAGCGGAAUUAAAGGACUCUAGCUGGGGGGCUUCUGUGAAGAGCAACAGGAACGCCAGCAGGACCGUUAAGUCGGCCGAGCUAUCUGUUCUUAAACUACACACCCUUGGCUCCAGCCCGGUCCUUUUCCUUUCCAAUAAGGGCCGCAGUGGGGAGAUCCGUGGGGAUCUGGUCCACCAUUUUGGAAAUGCUGAUGGGGUCGUUAGGGAGAUCCUACUCAAAAUGAGGAAACUCUAUGAGUACCUCCUGAAAAUGUGUGCUGCACAACAAGCUGCAUCGACAUCUGCUGGUCCACCAGCCCCCCCUGGACCAGAGCAAGAGCCAGAGCGAGAGACGGAGCGAGGGACAGAGACGGAGCCAGAGCCAGAGACGGA